rnacentral:lncRNA from 1 species
GGUGCUGCAGAUGGCCAUCGGCGUCACGCCGUCCAACCGCGGCAGCCUCCUGCCGCUCAAGAGGAAGCUGUGGGUAACGCCAUCCUCUGAAAAUCCUAAUGGUGCUACUUCUAGUGUCAGCCAAGGAAAACCUUCUUUAAGACGAAUUAAAGGGAGACUACACAGAAGCAAAAGCCUUGAUAGCAUCGAUUUCUGUGAACUCACUGUAAGUGGAUUGUUGAACACUUUUUUCUCAUUUUUCAAAGAAUAUGAAAAGUUUGAUUUUUCUAAAUGUUCAUAAAAACUCUUAUUUUGUGGUAAGCAAUUUUCAGUAAAAACUGGUUUAUCCAACAGGUUACCAACCAAUACAACUUUCUUAACUUGUAUCCAUAGAUACAUUUAUGAUAAGUGGUUCAUAAUGAUGAUUCUGGUGCAAAGACCAAGAUAAUGAAAUGUUUCCUAAACUCUACAACAAAAGUUGACCUAAGGUUGGUGGAUAAUGUAAAUUUCUUGAAAAAUCACAAAACCACAUGUUGAUGUAAGUACAGACCUAAGUAUUUGAUAACUCCCAAACACCAACGUCCUGGUAGUACCAGAAAAUAGAGGUGCUCUCAUAUUAUUAGAACAAAUGUAAGUUUCAGUUAGUGAUGGUAUUUUCUUUUCAUUCUAAGUGAAAUCAUUAACAUUAGAGAUCAUUUUUUCCCAGACCAAGUGACAGGUUUUCACAUGGGUAUAUGGUAAAUUCUAAUGGUGUUUUUUGUUUGUUUGUUUUGUUUGUUUGUUUUGUCUUUUGUCUUUUCAGGGCUGCAUCUAAGGCAUAUGGAGGUUCCCAGGCUAGGGGUCCAAUUGGAACUACAGCUGCCGGCCUACACCACAGCCACAGCAACACCAGAUCUGAGCUGUUGCUGCCACCUACACCGCAGCUCACGGCAACACCAGAUCCUUGGCUCGCUGAGUGAGGCCAGGGAUCGAACCCGCAACCUCAUGGUUCCUAGUCAUAUUCAUUUCCACUGUACCACAAUGGGAACUCCUAAAUUCUAUUGUUAAUCAUUAACAUUAGAGAUCUUUUUUUCCUCCAGACCAAGUGACAGGUUUUCACAUGGGUAUGUGGUAAAUUCAUGCAUGUUUUGAGGAAGAGUGACCCUUUCAGACCCCACUGUCCUUUUCUAUUGUAUUGUCCUAGUCUAGAAGAGCUACUGUACUGCUGUAAAGGCAAUACUAGAAUUUUCUUAGCUGUAUGAAAGUUUUCAGAUUUAUGUGUUGUAGGAUUCAGUGGCAAAUUAAUGGAUGUUUGGGAUGCUUAGACUGCAUAUGUUCAUUUCUCCUCUUUGAGCUCUGAAAAAUUCUGAAUUAUAAAAGUAUCAUUGACAAUUAUUUUUUCAAAAGGUGGUGACAGUGUAUGAAAGUAAAGUCUGUCUUUUUGGAGGUUAUGAUUUCUGCAUCUUUUACCUAUAAUUGAUGAAAACAAAAGCUCAGUAAAUAUGGAUACUCUAUGGUUUUUACUUUUAGUAAUUUUAGUAAUUAUUUUUACUAAAAUAAUUUUAUCUAAUUACUUUAUUUAAAGUGUGCUUGACAACAUUUUAUGACACAAGACAUAAGAAGGUGAAAUAUGACCUAUCAGGAGACCUGUAAGCAAUAAACUGAAAAAAGCGUUUUUUUCCCCUUGCUAAGUAGACCUCUAAUAGUGUGACAGAAUAAAAUAUAAAACUUAACCUCAUGUAAAGUUGCCUUCAGUUUCUCGGAAAUAGAUUAUUUCAGCUGUGAGGAAAAGGUGGUGAAUAGAGUUUUUUUUUUCAUUGUGAUGAAUACACUGAAAAAUUAUUGCUGAUUUAUUCCAUUGGCUAGAAAGAGUUGAUCCAGGUGAAGUUAGUACACAGUCCAAAAGCUAGGGAAAAAAUAACACUGUCCAGGUGCAGAAUUAAUUUAUUUAUUUUUGAUAUCUUUCACUUUAUCGCAAAAGUGAAAGGUUUUAGCAUCUCUGGAAGGAAGGCGUUUUGAUAUUGAGGUUCAAGGAGAGGUAAAGUUGAGGUUUAUGGAGUUCCGGGGGAGCCGUUGGUUCUAGUUUAAGAGUGUUUUCUGCUUUGUGAGCUAUGCUGCUUGUGAUUUUGGUGUUCUGCUUUAUCAAAGGUGCAUUGAAAGGCCAUGGACUUUGGUGUGUUGAUGAUGGUUCUUCUAAUUGUCAGUAAUGGGAAUGUAUUAACGAAAUGUAAUUACAGCAAUCAAUUUGGGUUUUUUGCAGUUCGAGUUCACUUUCUGUCUCAGGUUUUUGCAGUCGUGGUUAGUGGGGCAGCAGUUUAGUAUUUUGUUCUUCAAACACUUUUAGAUUAUCACAAAUUUUUACAGUGAACAUGUUCCACUUUUAGAAAAGCAAUAAAUUCCUUUAGUGAAUAAUAAAAUAAUAGAGGACUGUCAGCUUGGCUACUCCCACUUUCUAUCAUAAGCUGUGGUCAGUUAAUUCUGUAACAUCCAGAAUACACAUAGAGCAUCUUUGGCAUGGGCUAAAAAAGGAUUUUUUCCCUCCACUUUAAAAAUUUUAUCUUUUUUUUUUUUUUUUUUUUUUUUUUCAAGAAGGGAGUGCUAUACUUUUUUAGAAAAGGGUUUCAGGGGGCAUAAAAGGUGUUUAGAUUUGGUUCUCUAAUGUAGUAGACUUUGUCAUAUAAUCAUGAAGAACCAAAUUUUAAAAUCCUUUGUUACAAAGUCUAAAGGGAAGAUCCUUGGGAAAGGGUCUGUAAUGAUUUCCAGUUGUAUCAGAAUACAUAGUCCUUAUUCUUUUUAGGAAAUAGCGUACCUAUCCUAGGUAUCUCUUUCCAGAUACUGUUCUAGUUCAAAAAGCCUGAAAAAUCUGUCAUAUUAUACAGUAUUUUUCAGAUUGUAAAAAUUUUAAUUAAAUGUAUGGUUUCCUCUGAUUACCAAAGUAAACAGAAAACUGUAAAACAGAAAGACUUAGACUUAGUUUAUGGUCUCCUGUGAUGUACAUAUACAUCAAAUUUGCACAACCAACAGAAUAACAUUUAUAUUUUUAUUUUUACAUUUUGCUUUUUGCCUGCAGAGAAAAAAAAAAAAA